rnacentral:rRNA from 1 species
AGAGUUUGAUCCUGGCUCAGGAUGAACGCUGGCGGCAUGCCUAAUACAUGCAAGUCGAACGAAGUUUCGAGGAAGCUUGCUUCCAAAGAGACUUAGUGGCGAACGGGUGAGUAACACGUAGGUAACCUGCCCAUGUGUCCGGGAUAACUGCUGGAAACGGUAGCUAAAACCGGAUAGGUAUACAGAGCGCAUGCUCAGUAUAUUAAAGCGCCCAUCAAGGCGUGAACAUGGAUGGACCUGCGGCGCAUUAGCUAGUUGGUGAGGUAACGGCYCACCAAGGCGAUGAUGCGUAGCCGGCCUGAGAGGGUAAACGGCCACAUUGGGACUGAGACACGGCCCAAACUCCUACGGGAGGCAGCAGUAGGGAAUUUUCGUCAAUGGGGGAAACCCUGAACGAGCAAUGCCGCGUGAGUGAAGAAGGUCUUCGGAUCGUAAAGCUCUGUUGUAAGUGAAGAACGGAUCAUAGAGGAAAUGCUAUGGGAGUGACGGUAGCUUACCAGAAAGCCACGGCUAACUACGUGCCAGCAGCCGCGGU